GUGGUUAAAUGCACAGUUAUAGGUAACACUGAUGACUCCCUCCAAUGUCUCACCAUGAGUCUCAGCUCCCUGGGUUUUGCAAGGCUUUGCUUGUUCCUUAUUUCUAGUAAAACAUUGUCAAUGUAAAAAAGUGCAAAUAAAUCGGGGAAGCCAUACAUUCGCACACCUUUCUCUGACUGAGUGGAGCAUCCCCAUGCAGCACAGUAAACCACGGUGGAGACUAUGCAAGGACAACAUGAAAGAAAGGACACAUACAAAAUGCUUGUCAUGCUAUUAAAUUUAUUAGAAAUGUAUUCAUGAAUUGCUGUAAAUAGUUAAUUGUAUAAUUACAAUUUAAAAUAACUGUUUUCUAUUUUAAAAUGGAAUAUACUCCUGUGAUGCCAA